rnacentral:rRNA from 1 species
GGAAGUAAAAGUCGUAACAAGGUUUCCGUAGGUGAACCUGCGGAAGGAUCAUUAUCAAAUUCUGAGGGAGGGAAGAUGGGAAGUGGAGACUGUCGCUGGCUCGAGUCCUCGGGCAUGUGCACGUCUUCCUUGUCGUCGACCUUUCUCUCACACAACACACACCUGUGCACCUGUUGUAGGUCCUCGAAAGAGGAUCUAUGUUUUUCACAUCCACACCCAUCGUAUGUCUAUAGAAUGUAACCAGAACGUCGACCUGUUCAGCAGGCCCGGCGGUCGAUAAAUCAUACAACUUUCAGCAACGGAUCUCUUGGCUCUCGCAUCGAUGAAGAACGCAGCGAAUUGCGAUAAGUAAUGUGAAUUGCAGAUUUUCAGUGAAUCAUCGAAUCUUUGAACGCACCUUGCGCUCCUCGGUAUUCCGAGGAGCAUGCCUGUUUGAGUGUCAUCGAAUUCUCAACCAUGUCUCGAUCUAUUUCAAGGCAUGGCUUGGAGUUGGGGGUUUGCUGGCGGCGAAAAGCUGUCAGCUCUCCUGAAAUGCAUUAGCAAAGGGCGGCAAGUCUGACGUGCACGGCCUUCGACGUGAUAAUGAUCGUCGUGGCUGGAGCGUCUGGACGGUCUGCAUGAAAACGUCCAUGCUUCCAAUCCUACGCCCUACCUAGCCUUUGACUGCCAGUCGGUCGUGAGGCCGGCGAACGUCAGGUGUGCUGGGCUUGGGUCCAUUUCGAAACUUGACCUCAAAUCAGGUAGGACUACCCGCUGAACUUAAGCAUAUCAAUAAGCGGAGGA